UCUUUAAGGCACCAUCUUUGUCUGUUGACCUUCACCUUAGCCAAAUGAGUUCAUUGAUGAUGCAUUGCUUGAUUCACGUUCCAGAACUAAUGAAUGUUAAAGGGAUUGGUAGAUUUGAAAGCAUGUGUAGGUUGA
rnacentral:sRNA from 1 species